rnacentral:rRNA from 1 species
AACGAACGCUGGCGGCAUGCCUAACACAUGCAAGUCGAACGAAGCCUUCGGGCUUAGUGGCGCACGGGUGCGUAGCGCGUGGGAAUCUGCCCUUGGGUUCGGAGUAACAGUUAGAAAUGACUGCUAAUACCGGAUGAUGUCUUCGGACCAAAGAUUUAUCGCCCAAGGAUGAGCCCGCGUAGGAUUAGGUAGUUGGUGGGGUAAUGGCCCACCAAGCCGACGAUCCUUAGCUGGUCUGCGAGGAUGAUCAGCCACACUGGGACAGAGACACGGCCCAGACUCCUAGGGGAGGCAGCAGUGGGGAAUAUUGGACAAUGGGCGAAAGCCUGAUCCAGCAAUGCCGCGUGAGUGAUGAAGGCCUUAGGGUUGUAAAGCUCUUUUACCAGGGAUGAUAAUGACAGUACCUGGAGAAUAAGCUCCGGCUAACUCCGUGCCAGCAGCCGCCGUAACAC